rnacentral:rRNA from 2 species
ACUUAAGCAUAUCAAUAAGCGGAGGAAAAGAAACCAACAGGGAUUACCUCAGUAACGGCGAGUGAAGCGGUAACAGCUCAAAUUUGAAAUCUGGCCCUUUCAGGGUCCGAGUUGUAAUUUGUAGAAGAUGCUUCGGGUGUGGCUCCGGUCUAAGUUCCUUGGAACAGGACGUCAUAGAGGGUGAGAAUCCCGUAUGUGACUGGUUGCCUUCGCCCAUGUGAAGCUCUUUCGACGAGUCGAGUUGUUUGGGAAUGCAGCUCUAAAUGGGAGGUAAAUUUCUUCUAAAGCUAAAUAUUGGCCAGAGACCGAUAGCGCACAAGUAGAGUGAUCGAAAGAUGAAAAGCACUUUGGAAAGAGAGUUAAACAGUACGUGAAAUUGUUGAAAGGGAAGCGCUUGCAACCAGACUUGCACGCCGUCGAUCAUCUCAGGUUCUCCUGGGUGCACUCGGCGGUGUUCAGGCCAGCAUCGGUUUCGGUGGUUGGAUAAAGGCCUUGGGAAUGUGGCUCCUCUCGGGGAGUGUUAUAGCCCUCGGUGCAAUGCAGCCUACCGGGACCGAGGACCGCGCUUCGGCUAGGAUGCUGGCGUAAUGGUUGUAAGCGACCCGUC